ensembl:rRNA 5S_rRNA 5S ribosomal RNA
GUCUACAGCCAUAGCACCCUGAACACGCCUGAUCUUGUCUGAUCUCACAAGCUAAGCAGGGAUUGGCCUGGUUAGUAGUUAGAUGAGAGACUGCCUGGGAAUACCGGGUGCUGUAGGCU